GUGAAUCAUCAAAUUUUUGAACGCAUAUUGCACUCUCUGGUAUUCCGGAGAGUAUGCCUAUUUGAGGGUCAUUUGAAAUAAUAUAUAUUUUGAGAGUCUCUUGGAAUCAAAAAUGGGACGGUCCAGCAUUCGUGUGGUGGUCGCCUAAAAUGCAAGAUAAGCUUAUUUUUUGGGUUGUGUGAUACGUUCAGUUAUUUUGUGUUUUUACAUGCUUUAUUCGAGCGUGUUAGGA
rnacentral:misc_RNA from 1 species